GUGAGCCCAGGGGGACAUUGCCACCAGCAAGUCUGUCGCUGUGCCCUGGUGAGACGAGGAGGGCAGUAGAACAGGAUGGACAGUUUUGGAGCUACUAAGAGGAGUAGCUUCCUCCAUUAUGAGCUCCUGCCAUGCAUGAUGUGCCGUCUUGCCACCGGCCAAAAGCAGCAGGGCCAACUGACUAUGGUCUGAAACCUCCAGAACUGUGAGCAAAGUAAACCUUUCAUCUUUCUAAGUUUAUUAUCUAAAGCACUUUGCUACAGCAAUGGAAAACUUCAGAAAAACAAGAGAAGCUUCCCUCACCCCUUCAAGUAGUGAUGACCAUCAGAUGGGCCACAUAGCCAAUAACACCUGAGCCAUGCCUAACCUCUCUGGGCCUCAGAUUGCUCAUUAAGUUAGACAAAGUACCUUCCCAAUCUUCCAUUCUAGGAUUUUUGCAGGAGCUAAAAGUGAAGAGAAAUUCAACACAUGCCUGAUGAGCAAGGCCCCAGGGAUGUGCUCUGGCACCAAAGUGACCAGAGAUUGGGAGUGGCAUGCUCGCCCUAGGUCUCCUUUACAGAAUGUAUCCAGUGAACUUGGCUUUUAGGCCCGGAGCCCUGGCUUGUCUCCAUUCUGCUCACAUUCUGUUAAUAAUAAGCCUCACAAGGGACAUUUGUUUUCUUUCAGCCCUUUCUGUAAGGCCACUACUUUACGUGAGCACAUGGACAGAAUGAGAGCAUCAUUUUAUAUUGCAAUAUGAAGACCAACUGCAAUGUGACUAGAGAAAACAAAAGCUCCCAAUUGAGCUUGAUGACAUCUUUUAAAACUUACAGACGGCCCUUGGCGUACGAUGGUUCACGUAUGUGUUUUUGGCAUUAGGAUAUGCUCCAGCCUUCUUCCUUUCCCUCGAGAUGGAUGUUCACCGGGCAGUUGCAACGUACCCAGAACAAUGACAAAUGCAUCAAGCACCUGCAGAUGAAUCCACGGGCACACUGCAGGAGAAAACAACACUUCCUCGUGUCUUGACUCCAUCUUGGGGAUCAUGGAGUUCCCAGGGAGCCCCUUUGCAGGCCUGGCCCCCUCUCCUGGCUUCUGCCAGGAGCGACCUCCAGAGACCAGAGACCUUUUUCUCUGGCUACAUACCAUGAGAACAAAUUCUGGUCACCAAUGUCAGCACAGACGGUGAGUAUAAUGGCCCCUUUCCUUUGAAGACAGCGGCUGUGGGGGAGGUGGACAAUCUUGCUGGCCUGACUUUCACUUCCUUGUGAGUACUCCCCCGAGGCUGCUUGGUUCCCCGUACAGAUUGGCUUCAGGAGGGUUCAACACACACACGCUGACAGAUGUGUUCACAUGGAAGGGAGUAUGUGGCUGGGACUGGGAGGCUGAGUGGAGGAAAGAAGAACCUUUUAAAAAUAAAUCACCAGAAAUCUCUCUCUCACACACUCAUCUAUUUUUGGCCCUGAGUGCUUUCAGGCUCAUCUUCAGAGAAGCACAUGAACUCUUUGGAGUCCCCUGGUUCCUCUUGGUAAAUUUCCUACAACCAGCACUGAAAGUCGGCGCUGAGUCCUCCCUGCCUCUGGGCCUGUGGGGCCGGGUUGCCUGCACUACUUCCUGCUCCCCUCUGAGAGUGACAGUGACGGUUUGUGAGUCAGUAUGGGUUGGGAGGCACCACUGCACCCCACCCCAGCCCGAACUGCUCCUGGGACAGUUUCAGCCCCAGUCUUCUGACCCCAAGACCCACUCUUGGCCUCCCCGAAGGUGGAGUCUGCUGGGUGGUUUUGGGAGUCCACCAUGCUGACGUCAUCUGAAUGCCUGGGGAAUGACAUCGAUGAUCUCGCGGAAAACACAGCCGCCUGUCACG